UACGUAGGGUGCAAGCGUUGUCCGGAAUUAUUGGGCGUAAAGAGCUCGUAGGCGGUUUGUUGCGUCGGCUGUGAAAUCCCAAGGCUCAACCUCGGGUCUGCAGUCGAUACGAGCAAACUAGAGUGUUGCAGGGGAGACUGGAAUUCCUGGUGUAGCGGUGGAAUGUGCAGAUAUCAGGAGGAACACCGAUGGCGAAGGCAGGUCUCUGGGUCACUACUGACGCUGAGAAGCGAAAGCAUGGGGAGCGAACAGG
rnacentral:rRNA from 1 species